rnacentral:rRNA from 1 species
CUGCUGCCUUCCGUAGGAGUCUGGGCCGUNUCUCAGUCCCAAUGUGGCCGGCAACCUCUCAGUCCGGCUACC